CCUACGGGGUGCAGCAGUGAGGAAUAUUGGUCAAUGGACGAGAGUCUGAACCAGCCAAGUAGCGUGAAGGAUGACUGCCCUAUGGGUUGUAAACUUCUUUUAUAUGGGAAUAAAACGUUCCACGUGUGGGAUUUUGUAUGUACCAUAUGAAUAAGGAUCGGCUAACUCCGUGCCAGCAGCCGCGGUAAUACGGAGGAUCCGAGCGUUAUCCGGAUUUAUUGGGUUUAAAGGGAGCGUAGGUGGAUUGUUAAGUCAGUUGUGAAAGUUUGCGGCUCAACCGUAAAAUUGCAGUUGAAACUGGCAGUCUUGAGUACAGUAGAGGUGGGCGGAAUUCGUGGUGUAGCGGUGAAAUGCUUAGAUAUCACGAAGAACUCCGAUUGCGAAGGCAGUUCACUGGACUGCAACUGACAUUGAUGCUCGAAAGUGUGGGUAUCAAACAGGAUUAGAUACCCGGGUAGUC
rnacentral:rRNA from 1 species